UACAGAGGUGGCAAGCGUUGUUCGGAAUCACUGGGCAUAAAGGGCGCGUAGGCGGCGAGGCAAGUCGGGUGUGAAAUCCCUCAGCUCAACUGAGGAACUGCGCCCGAAACUACCUUGCUAGAGUGCAGGAGAGGAGAGUGGAACUCCUAGUGGAGCGGUGAAAUGCGUAGAGAUUAGGAGGAACGCCGGUGGCGAAAGCGACUCUCUGGCCUGUAACUGACGCUGAGGCGCGAAAGCUAGGGGAGCAAACGGGAUUAGAUACCCCGGUAGUCCUAGCCGUAAACGAUGGGCACUAAGUAGGGGGGUCUCCGAUGACCUCUCUGCCGGAGCUAAUGUAUUAAGUGCCCCGCCUGGGGAGUAUGGUCGCAAGGCUGAA
rnacentral:rRNA from 1 species